UUAUAUAGGGAUUUUGGGCCAACACCUGACAACAUAUCGAUACAUUUAGAAUCAUAGUCGAAAUUUCGAAAUAUCUUGGAAUGUGGCAGUUUGGCUUUCUUCACAUAGUCCUUUCUUCACAAGUCUGCUCAGAUUAUACUUCAAUUUCUUGUCAAUAUUUUUGUACAAGUUUAGCUAGAAGACAUACUUUAUGUACCAAUUUUCUGUUUGCAUUAUGUUUUGGACAAUGCAUGUAUCCAUGAAUUUGAUCUUGGUUUAUCUGUAAUUUGAUUAAUGUGAAGAAUAGCAAAGUAAA